rnacentral:rRNA from 1 species
CGCGGCCUAUCAGCUUGUUGGUGAGGUAAUGGCUCACCAAGGCGACGACGGGUAGCCGGCCUGAGAGGGCGACCGGCCACACUGGGACUGAGACACGGCCCAGACUCCUACGGGAGGCAGCAGUGGGGAAUAUUGCACAAUGGGCGAAAGCCUGAUGCAGCGACGCCGCGUGAGAGAUGACGGCCUUCGGGUUGUAAACCUCUUUCAGCAGGGAAGAAGCGAAAGUGACGGUACCUGCAGAAGAAGCACCGGCUAACUACGUGCCAGCAGCCGCGGUGAUACGUAGGGUGCGAGCGUUGUCCGGAAUUAUUGGGCGUAAAGAGCUUGUAGGCGGUUUGUCGCGUCUGCUGUGAAAAUCCGGGGCUCAACCCCGGACUUGCAGUGGGUACGGGCAGACUAGAGUGUGGUAGGGGAGACUGGAAUUCCUGGUGUAGCGGUGAAAUGCGCAGAUAUCAGGAGGAACACCGAUGGCGAAGGCAGGUCUCUGGGCCACUACUGACGCUAAGAAGCGAAAGCAUGGGGAGCGAACAGGAUUAGAUACCCUGGUAGUCCAUGCCGUAAACGUUGGGCGCUAGGUGUGGGACUCAUUCCACGAGUUCCGUGCCGCAGCUAACGCAUUAAGCGCCCCGCCUGGGGAGUACGG